GAUGAACGCUGGCGGCGUGCCUAAUACAUGCAAGUCGAGCGAACAGACGAGGAGCUUGCUCCUCUGACGUUAGCGGCGGACGGGUGAGUAACACGUGGAUAACCUACCUAUAAGACUGGGAUAACUUCGGGAAACCGGAGCUAAUACCGGAUAAUAUAUUGAACCGCAUGGUUCAAUAGUGAAAGACGGUUUUGCUGUCACUUAUAGAUGGAUCCGCGCCGCAUUAGCUAGUUGGUAAGGUAACGGCUUACCAAGGCAACGAUGCGUAGCCGACCUGAGAGGGUGAUCGGACACACUGGAACUGAGACACGGUCCAGACUCCUAAGGGAGGCAGCAGUAGGGAAUCUUCCGCAAUGGGCGAAAGCCUGACGGAGCAACGCCGCGUGAGUGAUGAAGGUCUUCGGAUCGUAAAACUCUGUUAUUAGGGAAGAACAAAUGUGUAAGUAACUAUGCAAGUCUUGACGGUACCUAAUCAGAAAGCCACGGCUAACUACGUG
rnacentral:rRNA from 1 species